rnacentral:rRNA from 1 species
GACGAACGCUGGCGGCGUGCUUAACACAUGCAAGUCGAACGGAAAGGCCCUGCUUUUGUGGGGUGCUCGAGUGGCGAACGGGUGAGUAACACGUGGGUAACCUGCCCUUGACUUUGGGAUAACUUCAGGAAACUGGGGCUAAUACCGGAUAGGAGCUCCUGCUGCAUGGUGGGGGUUGGAAAGUUUCGGCGGUUGGGGAUGGACUCGCGGCUUAUCAGCUUGUUGGUGGGGUAGUGGCUUACCAAGGCUUUGACGGGUAGCCGGCCUGAGAGGGUGACCGGCCACAUUGGGACUGAGAUACGGCCCAGACUCCUACGGGAGGCAGCAGUGGGGAAUAUUGCACAAUGGGCGGAAGCCUGAUGCAGCAACGCCGCGUGCGGGAUGACGGCCUUCGGGUUGUAACCCGCUUUCGCCUGUGACGAAGCGUGAGUGACGGUAAUGGGUAAAGAAGCACCGGCUAACUACGUG